rnacentral:rRNA from 1 species
AUUGAACGCUGGCGGCAGGCCUAACACAUGCAAGUCGAACGAGCGGCGGACGGGUGAGUAAUGUAUGGGGAUCUGCCCGAUAGAGGGGGAUAACUACUGGAAACGGUGACUAAUACCGCAUACUAUCUGAUGAACCCAUAUGUGAUUAGCUAGUAGGUGGGGUAAAGGCUCACCUAGGAGACGAUCUCUAGCUGGUCUGAGAGGAUGAUCAGCAACUCUGGAAUUGAGACACGGCCCAGACUCCUACGGGCGGCAGCAGUGUGGUAUAUUGCACAAUGUGCGCAAGCCUGAUGGAGCCAUGCCGGGUGUAUGAAUAAGGACUUAGGGUUGUAAAGUACUUUCAGCGAGGAGGCGUUACCAGCAGAAGAAGCACCGGCUAACUCCGUGCCAGCAGCCGCGGUAAUAG